rnacentral:lncRNA from 1 species
CCCGGUGUGGAUCUUCCGACUGUUCUUUGAUCCUGAGAAUUUUGGUAUGCUUAUAUACGAAUAACCCUUCGUAUGGAUCUACUUCUUCGUCAUAUUGAGGAAUCAGACUGUGUAGGUAAAGCACAAAACGACGACUGAAUAAUUGAAAAACCCCCAAACAUCCAGUCCUGAAAUCGAAAAAAUUGACCAAAAUUCAUCCAAACCCAUUCUAUGUUCUCUAAAACCACGCACACAUACACACAUCUACAAUACCCCCUGAAGCUUCCGAUCGUUAAAAAAAUCAAACAGAGAUAAAGAGAGGAGCAUCACCGGUUAUUGUGAUUUAAUUGUUGAUUUGGAGAUGAUACUGUUUCCUGAUUUGUUGCUAUGUAAUUGUUGAUUCUUUGGAAUGUUAGGUUUUUAGAAUUAAUGAUUUCUUGAUAUAAAUCACGUAGUUGAUUCCCAAAAAAAUUGAAUUUCAAAAGAGAAUAAGAGGAAUUAACAAUACAUGCAAUUAUAUAGUGGCACAAGGGUAGAAUUGGAAUUUCAGAUUGAUAAUAUGGGUGGGAAAAAAAGCUGGAGGAGAGCUAAGAAAAUGCCACGUGGCGAAAAUGUAUUGUUUUAUUAGAAUAGAGGAUGUCUUUAGAUGUGCUUAGUAAUCACAUUUCGGUCUCCUCGUUAGUCAAUGCUUGCCUACAUGUUCUCUUCCUCUGCUAUGGAUUUUACUCUUUUGGACACGAUGUGCUCCUCCCAUCGAUUC